GGGUGGGCCAGUUGCGUAGCUGCUGGCGUCGCUCCGUGAUUGCCGACGUCUGAGCCGUGGCUCAGAACUUGUACGAUGGUAGUCCAGUUCGUCAGGGGCCAAACUGAGCCGUCCCUGGACUGCACGUCUGUUUGUGGGGUCCGCCUGGGAGACAUGUCGAGGGUUCGGGACGGCCGGUUUGACGAGCAAUGAGGUCGUCGAUUGCUGGUGGGGAGGUACCCCGCGGUAAUGGCGGCCGCGGCGGAUGCAGUUCGCUGGUUCCCAAUCAGGGAGGAGUUCGCGGACAGCUUGGAGCAGCCAAAUCCGGACACUCUAGGGUUCCUCCGUCCGUCCAUGGCUGCUGGGCUGCAUCGCCGCUCACGCCGUUGCCACCGCCCCAUCGACGUCGACCCCGACGCCACCGCUGCUCUCUAGAUCUCAGUCUCGCCGGCGCUCCUCACUGCCUUGCUCCCCUCUACUGGACAGCUGCUCGCCGGUGUCGUCUUUCUCCUGUACUGGUCGGCAGCAUCUCGUUCUCGGGCACUAACAAGUCCAUGUCCCCUUCGUUCUGCACGAUAUCUCUAGCCCGACAGCCUCCACCAGACACCACGGGUUCCCACUCCUGGAGGAGUUCACCGACAGCCAUCGACAACCAGAUCCAAUACUUCUGGUGUUGUUACCGUCAGACGAGACCAACAGAUCCGUGCCAGCAGACUCGAAUACUGAGUCUGGAUGCCAGGCGAGGCCACGGUAGGGCUUGCGGCGGAGACGGGAGGUAUCUCCAACUCGUUCCACACAGUCAGCUGACAGGGUCAACCCCGAGGCGUAAUGCACCUUUCGUCGGACCUGAAGGCUGAGCUGACUCCUGGUGGUGAGGUGACGUUAAAUGUCCGGAGAUGCAUGCAGCACAUGCUGAAUGCAAAUGAGAAGAGGAUGUACCGCGGGUGGCUCGCGAGGUGGAGGGAUCCGUGCUUUGUGAGCUUUGCAGGGCAGACAAUGAAGUGGACUGGGAUGAACUUUAAUUGAUAGGGUACAAAAUUGAUUGGCUGAAGAAGGUAAGCGUGUCGGAUGGGGUAACUGAAGACGUACUUAAUCGUAUGCCGCGGCCGCCAGAGUUCAUUCCUGAAGGCCUGCGCGUUUCUGGCGUUCCAUAGGCUGGUUGCGCAUGCGGCGAAAAGGAUAUGCCACAGCUUGCCAUGGAUGGCCCCUGGUUGCUCCGCCUUGAAGAAGUGUGGGAUUCCAUCGGAGGAGACGGCAAUCUCCUUUAGUCCCAGCUUGUCCCAAACUGCAUCUGCCAGUCUGCAUCUUAGUAUGACAUGGCUCAUUGUUUCUGUGGCUCGGCAUAGAUCACAUCCAUUGUGUGCUACAAUCUUGUCCCAUCUUCAUUCUGGAGUUCACUGGUCUUUACCUUCGUUCGAUGCUUACCCAACAGGCACAGCUUGAGCACCUAAAUAAGAAAGAAAAUUGCAUACGAGGUCGUGAUCAUGAAGGGGAACAAGGGAGAUAUCCUGUAUUUCCUGCACAACGAAAUCGUUGGCUGUGCGUGUGCUUUUCCGUGGAAUUGCCCGUUUACGUUGAUGCCCCACACCCGUUUGUAGGUGAAUAGGCUAUGGGCCUGCGUUAAGUUUUUUACUUAAGAGACCUAAGCAGACUAAUUAAAACUACGGACGUGCGAGCAAAGUUUUAUGGACAGAUUACCCCCUAUCUGAAUUCGCAAUGUCAUAAAUAUUGCGAUUUGUGCUCUUACUAAACGUGAAAGG